UACCUCUUUAGAGUUUGAUCCUGGCUCAGAUUGAACGCUGGCGGCAGGCCUAACACAUGCAAGUCGAGCGGUAACAUUUCUAGCUUGCUAGAAGAUGACGAGCGGCGGACGGGUGAGUAAUGCUUGGGAACAUGCCUUGAGGUGGGGGACAACCAUUGGAAACGAUGGCUAAUACCGCAUAAUGUCUACGGACCAAAGGGGGCUUCGGCUCUCGCCUUUAGAUUGGCCCAAGUGGGAUUAGCUAGUUGGUAAGGUAACGGCUCACCAAGGCGACGAUCCCUAGCUGGUUUGAGAGGAUGAUCAGCCACACUGGAACUGAGACACGGUCCAGACUCCUACGGGAGGCAGCAGUGGGGAAUAUUGCACAAUGGGCGCAAGCCUGAUGCAGCCAUGCCGCGUGUGUGAAGAAGGCCUUCGGGUUGUAAAGCACUUUCAGUCAGGAGGAAAGGUUAGUAGUUAAUACCCUGCUAAGCUGUGACGUAC
rnacentral:rRNA from 1 species